rnacentral:lncRNA from 9 species
GCCGCUUUCAGUCUAACUUUGGGCAAAUGGUUCAACAUGCCAUGACCUAGUUCCUCAGCUGUAAAAAUAAGAUCAAACAACUUGUCUGAAACUGGGCCACAUAACAUCGCGAAAGGUGGGUGCUGUGUAAGGCUGGGGCCACAGAAUCAUGGCAUCUCAGAAGCCUGAUGGGCUCGCCUGGAGCAUCCUCUACCUUCAGACAAGCACAUGUUUAUGGAGUCUGCACAGAUUAGGGGCUGUUCUCGUUUUACAGUCCUUCCAAGCAGAGGUCUGUGGUUUUCUGAUAGUCAACAGACUGGUAAGAAAUCCCUCCUCUUGUUGCCCUAAUUUCCACAACCUGUACCCUGAAUGGCCCCUGCCUCUCUCCUUGGCAUCCCUCAUACUGCUGUCCUGUUGUGGCCCCAGGUCAGGGCCAUGCCUCAGAAGCAGCCAGCCAGCAUCUCCUUUGGAAGAACAUGGAAGGACAGGAGGAGGCAGCUCUGGCCAUCAGGACCGACACAGGCUUAGAGGACGCCCAGAGGGUAGGAGUUACAAAAGGCCUCCAUCUCAUGGAGAGUGUGCAGGAGCUGGUCCAAGGCGAGGCUGGGAGAAGGACCUGAGACAAACACGUGCGGCUGUUUGGUAACUGUCCACGGCACACGUCUUCCCCGUCCCCUGGGCUCCACAGCAGGUGCCCCUUGGGGAAGCAUCCUCCCACCCUUCCCUUGGGAGGGAGGUUCUGGUGCAAAUAUUGAGCAGCAAUGUUUUGAGCACAGCAUUUGUUUUAUGGGAAUAUCUGCUGUCAUCCUUAUUUGUUUUGCUGGCCAAGAUGCUUCCUGGCUCUUCAUUCAUUCUGCAAGGAUUUAUUGAGCAGCUACUGUGUGCUAAGUGGAGUUUCCUAUCCCCAGAGAGGUGCUGUCCUGUUCCUGAGCCUGAGAUCCUGCCGUCUCCUCGAUGACUCUACUUCGAGGUUUUGCUCGCACACCAGCCUGCUGGCCAGGGUAAAACACCCCUCCCCAGACAGUCCCUGCUGUCUGCUGCCGGGACCUUCUAAAUGUCUGUGUGCUAUUCGGGGGAAGCCUCCCAGAGAGGCCAUCCUGUGCCCUGGGAGGUGAUGUCAGGAGGGUACCCGGUCGGGAGGUUCCAAAGGGGCGUUGCGUGGACACUGAACUACUUCUGGGCCAAGAUCGCCCAUUUCAAGGCCGGCCUGUUUCAGAACAGCCGUCACUGACAGGGAAAAUCCCCUAGGCUGCUACUGAAGCCGCCACAUGCUCACUCACACCCUCAACAGUAUGUCACGGUUACCUCCAGACUUACUGAAACAACAAAGCUUGAGGAAGCCCCAAUACCAGGAACCUGAGUGAGGCCAUCAGAGACCUUGGUAACAGGGCUGGACUCUCCAGCGUGGGACCAAGCCCUGGGUGUGGGUCACAAGCACCUUGCUGUCACCCCAGCCCUUGGCAUCAUCCGGCAGAGAUGGGAUGAGAUUAAAGAGACCGUCCGGGAUGAACCAAGGCAGUGACAUUCCAGAGGCAGGGGAUUUCGAGGUCACCCACAGGCGCUCUGCCUCCCCAUCUCCUCUCCCUCCUAACCACCUGCGACCUCGC